UUGUUUUUUUUUUUUUCUCGUUAAAUUUUAAAUUUAUUUAAACAUCAUGAAAUAUCUUGUAAUUUUAGUGUGCCAAUUAAAUUGUUUUUUAAAUCUGGAUACUCAUCUUACUUUCAACUACCAUGGAAGGAUGCAAGCAUCACAAAUAUAUUUAAAUAUAUUUUUUACUAUCCUGACAAGAGUAUUUCUCUUAUUCUGACCAACUUCAUACACAACAGUCAUUCAAACUUUCUUGCUGUUAAUCAAAACACAAACUUAAGAUGUUGACUCAUUUUAUUCC